rnacentral:rRNA from 1 species
AUGGCGACAGCAGGAGCUCCGCCUCUCCACUGCGGCAUCCCGGAAGAGGUCGCCAUCUGGGAGAUCCUCGUUCGCCUGGCCCCCAAGGCCCUCCUCCGCUGCCGCGCCGUCUGCCGCGCCUGGCGCCGCGCCACCUCCACCCGCGACUUCCUCCUCGCUCACCACGCCCACCAGCCAUCCCUCGCCCUCAUCUACGGCGAAGACGGCAACUCCGUACUCAUCAUGCCCUUUAACCACCGGGCAGGGCCCGUCGCGCGACUUUACAGCGUCGACGACGCCCUGUUCCAGGCCUCCUGCGACGGCCUCCUCGUCAUCUGCGUCCACGGCAAGCACUUCUCCAUCCGCAACCCGGCGACUCGUCAAUACGCCAACCUCUCGCUGCUUCAUGGCUUCAAGCUCUUGGGGAUGUACCAGCACAGCCAUACCGGCGAGUAUCGGCUAUUGCUCUACCUGUCCGUGGCCGUGAAGUGGAUGUACAGUGCACUGCCUCAAGUUCAAGAGGGCUCCUACGUCUUCACGAUAGGCUCCGGCCAGCCGCCCAGGCACAUAGGGUGCUCCGAUGCGGAGGAACUGAUAUGCAUCCCCGGAUCUGUUUGUUUCCAUGGUGGCCUGCAUUGGUAUACAAACCACGUGAUAAAGAUAUUUGACACCACCGCCGAGUCGUUCCGGCAGAUGCGCUCUCCGUUUGUUCGUGGCCACGCUCGCCUGUUUGAGGUGGACAGCAUGCUUGGCAUGUCCACUUUUAAUGGUGAUGUUGAUAUCUGGGUGGUGCAAGAGCAAGACUACAAAGACGAGGUCUGGGCAUUGAAAUAUCGGGUUGAAUUGCCGGUUGCAGAGAUCAGAGUGCAAUUUGGAAUGUUUGAAAUUAAAUAUUGUCGUGCGAGGGCCGAGUCUUGUGAGGGUGAUGUGCUCGUGCUGCUCGAAUUUGAUGAUUGGCUACUUCAAGUUGACAUCAAUGGCAGGUUGGUUGCUGGAUUCCAUCGCAGAGGCCUCAUUCGUACUCAAGUCCGGCUCAAACAGACUCUACUUUUGCACACUUUCUUUCCGACACUAUAG